rnacentral:rRNA from 1 species
GCGCGAAAACUUUACAAUGCUGGCAACAGCGAUAAGGGAACCUCGAGUGCCAGGUUACAAAUCUGGCUGUCGUGAUGCCUAAAAAGCAUUGCAUAGCAAGGGCCGGGCAAGACCGGUGCCAGCCGCCGCGGUAACACCGGCGGCUCGAGUGGUAACCGUUAUUAUUGGGUCUAAAGGGUCUGUAGCCGGCCGGAUAAGUCUCUUGGGAAAUCUGGCAGCUUAACUGUCAGGCUUUCAGGAGAUACUGUCUGGCUCGAGGCCGGGAGAGGUGAGAGGUACUUCAGGGGUAGGGGUGAAAUCUUGUAAUCCUUGAAGGACCACCAGUGGCGAAGGCGUCUCACCAGAACGGACCUGACGGCAAGGGGCGAAAGCUAGGGGCACGAACC